AAGUCGUAACAAGGUUUCCGUAGGUGAACCUGCGGAAGGAUCAUUACAGAGAGGGGCUUAACUGCCCCGGGGGCUCCGGCCCCCACCUCUUCACCCUUUGAUUAAUCUACCUUUCUGUUGCUUUGGCGGGCCUUGGGGUCACGCUCAUGCCGUUCUCCUUCGGCGAGUGCCUGCCGACAGCCCCCCACAAAUCGUUUUUAUCCGUGUCGUCUGAAUACAAACACAAAUAAUCAAAACUUUCAACAACGGAUCUCUUGGUUCUGGCAUCGAUGAAGAACGCAGCGAAAUGCGAUAAGUAAUGUGAAUUGCAGAAUUCAGUGAAUCAUCGAAUCUUUGAACGCACAUUGCGCCCCUCGGUAUUCCGGGGGGCAUGCCUGUUCGAGCGUCAUUGCACCCCUCAAGCGUAGCUUGGUAUUGGGUCCUCGCCCCCGUGGCGUGCCCGAAAAGCAUUGGCGGUCCGGGUGGACUUUAAGCGUAGUAAAAUAUCUCCCGCUUUGAAAGCUCCCCCCGCGGCUGCCAGACAACCCCACAUAUUCUUUCAAUGAUCGACCUCGGAUCAGGUAGGGAUACCCGCUGAACUUAAGCAUAUCAAUAAGCGGAGGAAAAGAAACCAACAGGGAUUGCCUCAGUAACGGCGAGUGAAGCGGCAACAGCUCAAAUUUGAAAUCUGGCUCCUUCGGGGUCCGAGUUGUAAUUUGUAGAAGAUGUUUCGGGUGAGGCGCCAGUCUAAGUCCCUUGGAACAGGGCGUCAUAGAGGGUGAGAAUCCCGUAUGUGACCGGUGACCGAGUCCAUGUGAAACUCCUUCGACGAGUCGAGUUGUUUGGGAAUGCAGCUCAAAAUGGGUGGUAAAUUUCAUCUAAAGCUAAAUACCGGCCAGAGACCGAUAGCGCACGAGUAGAGUGAUCGAAAGAUGAAAAGCACUUUGAAAAGAGAGUUAAACAGUAUGUGAAAUUGUUGAAAGGGAAGCGCUGGCCACCAGACUGGUGUGGGACGGCUCCCCCGACGAUCCGUCGGGCUACUCUGUUGCACCCCGGCCAGCAUCGGUUCGGGUGGUCGGUCACGGGCCCCGGGAAUGUAUCAACCUUCGGGUAGACUUAUAGCCCGGGGUACAUGCGGCCUACCCGGACCGAGGAACGCGCUCCGGCUCGGAUGCUGGCGUAAUGGUGGUCAGCGGCC
rnacentral:rRNA from 1 species